CCUAUUCAGAAUCUGACUUAUAAGAUCUUCAACAAAAAAGAUAUUUUCCAUUUUUUUCUCAAUAUCCUCUGAAAGCUGCUGACAGCUUUACAUGGAACCAUCUCAUCUCUCUUUGCUCCAGGACACUAUUACUAUACAUCUGGAAAGAAGUUUACUCCGGAAGACUUUCAUCUCCAAAUCAUGGAAGAUGAGCCAACGGGGAAGAAGGCCGGACUGGCUGAACAAAGACCUUUGGCUGGAUCUCAAGAACAAAAGGAAAGUUUAUGGUCUCUGGAAGAGUGGGCAAGCUACUUAUGAUGAUUACAGGAUAUGAUUUAUGGUGUAGAACAACUCUCUUCAGAUCCAAGACAUAAAGC
ensembl:lncRNA